rnacentral:rRNA from 1 species
UACGUAGGGUGCGAGCGUUGUCCGGAAUUAUUGGGCGUAAAGAGCUCGUAGGCGGUGUGUCACGUCGGCCGUGAAAACCUGCAGCUUAACUGUGGGCGUGCGGUCGAUACGGGCAUCACUGGAGUUCGGCAGGGGAGACUGGAAUUCCUGGUGUAGCGGUGAAAUGCGCAGAUAUCAGGAGGAACACCUGCGGCGAAGGCGGGUUGCUGGGCUGAUACUGACGCUGAGGAGCGAAAGCGUGGGGGAGCGAACAGG